CUACGUGCCAGCAGCCGCGGUAAUACGUAGGGUGCGAGCGUUAAUCGGAAUUACUGGGCGUAAAGCGAGCGCAGACGGUUACUUAAGCAGGAUGUGAAAUCCCCGGGCUCAACCUGGGAACUGCGUUCUGAACUGGGUGACUAGAGUGUGUCAGAGGGAGGUAGAAUUCCACGUGUAGCAGUGAAAUGCGUAGAGAUGUGGAGGAAUACCGAUGGCGAAGGCAGCCUCCUGGGAUAACACUGACGUUCAUGCUCGAAAGCGUGGGUAGCAAACAGGAUUAGAUACCCUGGUAGUCCACGCYGUAAACGAUGUCGAUUUGGGGGUUGAACUAUAAGUUUGGCGCCCGUAGCUAACGUGAUAAAUCGACCGCCUGGGGAGUACGGCCGCAAGGUUAAAACUCAAAUGAAUUGACGGGGGCCCGCACAAGCGGUGGAGCAUGUGGUUUAAUUCGAUGCAACGCGAAGAACCUUACCUACUCUUGACAUCCAGA
rnacentral:rRNA from 1 species